rnacentral:rRNA from 1 species
UACGGAGGGUGCAAGCGUUAUCCGGAUUCACUGGGUUUAAAGGGUGCGUAGGUGGGUUGAUAAGUCAGUGGUGAAAUCCCCGAGCUUAACUUGGGAACUGCCAUUGAUACUAUUGAUCUUGAAUACCGUGGAGGUCAGCGGAAUAUGUCAUGUAGCGGUGAAAUGCUUAGAUAUGACAUAGAACACCAAUUGCGAAGGCAGCUCACUACACGAAUAUUGACACUGAGGCAUGAAAGCG